GAAAUGCGAUAAUUAAUGUGAAUUGCAGAAUUCAGUGAAUCAUCGAGUCUUUGAACGCACAUUGCGCCCCCUGGUAUUCCGGGGGGCAUGCCUGUCCGAGCGUCAUUGCUGCCCUCAAGCACGGCUUGUGUGUUGGGCUUCCGUCCCUGGCAACGGGGACGGGCCCAAAAGGCAGUGGCGGCACCAUGUCUGGUCCUCGAGCGUAUGGGGCCUUGUCACCCGCUCCCGUAGGUCCAGCUGGCAGCUAGCCUCGCAACCAAUCUUUUUAACCAGGUUGACCUCGGAUCAGGUAGGGAUACCCGCUGAACUUAAGC
rnacentral:misc_RNA from 1 species